AUUGAACGCUGGCGGCAGGCCUAACACAUGCAAGUCGAGCGGAUGAAGGGAGCUUGCUCCUGGAUUCAGCGGCGGACGGGUGAGUAAUGCCUAGGAAUCUGCCUGGUAGUGGGGGAUAACGUCCGGAAACGGGCGCUAAUACCGCAUACGUCCUGAGGGAGAAAGUGGGGGAUCUUCGGACCUCACGCUAUCAGAUGAGCCUAGGUCGGAUUGGCUAGUUGGUGGGGUAAAGGCCUACCAAGGCGACGAUCCGUAACUGGUCUGAGAGGAUGAUCAGUCACACUGGAACUGAGACACGGUCCAGACUCCUACGGGAGGCAGCAGUGGGGAAUAUUGGACAAUGGGCGAAAGCCUGAUCCAGCCAUGCCGCGUGUGUGAAGAAGGUCUUCGGAUUGUAAAGCACUUUAAGUUGGGAGGAAGGGCAGUAAGUUAAUACCUUGCUGUUUUGACGUUACCAACAGAAUAAGCACCGGCUAACUUCGUG
rnacentral:rRNA from 1 species